UACUCCUACGGGAGGCAGCAGUGGGGAAUAUUGCACAAUGGGCGCAAGCCUGAUGCAGCCAUGCCGCGUGUAUGAAGAAGGCCUUCGGGUUGUAAAGUACUUUCAGCGGGGAGGAAGGUGCUGAGGUUAAUAACCUCAGCAAUUGACGUACCGCAGAGAUGCCCCCU
rnacentral:rRNA from 1 species